AUACGGAGGGGGUUAGCGUUGUUCGGAAUUACUGGGCGUUAAGCGUACGUAGGCGGACUGGAAAGUUGGGGGUGAAAUCCCGGGGCUCAACCCCGGAACUGCCUCCAAAACUUCCAAUCUAGAGAUCGAGAGGGGUGAGUGGAAUUCCAAGGGUAGAGGUGAAAUUCGUAGAUAUUUGGAGGAACACCAGUGGCGAAGGCGGCUCACUGGCUCGAUACUGACGCUGAGGUACGAAAGCGUGGGGAGCAAACAGGAUUAGAUACCCUUGUAGUCC
rnacentral:rRNA from 1 species